UUAUGAUAAAAUUGGAGUUUAAUAUAUAAUUUUUUCUAAUUUAAAGUGUAAUAAAUAGCUGUAUAUAUAUAUAUAUAUGCACGUGCAUAUGUGCGUGAAUGAGGCAGCUUCUGUGAAGCUUUAAUGGCUGAGAUUUUUGGCUGAAAAUUGGGAGAUGGCAGCAGCGAGAUUUGAGAAAGAAGAUAUGGCAGCCGAAUUUGUGUGAUUGUGCAAUUAAUGUGAUCUAAUAUAUAUAUAUAUAUAUCUAUAUCUAUCUAUGCAUCUCGUACAACAGCUCACCUAUAAAUUGAGAUGCAUUUGGCCAAAUUCAAAGCAGCAAGAAAAUGGGAGUUGAGAGAGCAUUCGGCCAAGAAUGAGAGAUUGAGGGAGAGACCGAGAGAAGCAAGGGAGAGAAAGAGGCCUUGGCCGAAGCCGGCCAUGGCAGCCAUAAAGGAAUUGCGGCGAGCAGGGGAGGUCGACGGGUUGAGCAACGAUGGCUGCGCGCGAGUUGGAGACGGCCUAGAGUUCGGCCAGAGAUGGCCGAAAUGAGCCACGAUCGCAAGUCGGAAGCAGCCCAAAGCGAGGCCAGUAGCUAGGUGCGGCAAUGGCCGCAACCUGGUGCGCCAAAGCAGCAACUAGCCGCGGUUGCAGCAGCCGCGAGUUGCUUCCAGCCAGGGCGGAGGCCGGUGCUCGACCAGCGGGAAGCGUCGGCAGCCGGUGAGGGCGGUGAGGCAGGCGUUGUCGGCGGCGAGGGGUUGCAAGCGGUGGCUGGGCGAGUGCACUGAAGCCGCACGCAGGAAAGAGAAGAAAAAAAAAAGAAGAAGAAGAAGAAGAAGAGAAAAAGAAGAAGAAGAAAAAGAAAAGGAAGAAGGAAAAGAAGGAAGAAGAAGAAGAAGAAGUUGCAGGUGGUUGUGCGGGAAGCAGGGGAGAGAAGGAGGAAGAAGAAGAUGAAGUGGAGGGAAAAGAAAAAGAAAAAAGAAAAGAAAAGAAAGAAAAAGGAAGAAAAGAAAAGAAAAAGAAGAAAAAUAGGAAAAUGAUGGGGAAAAAUCCUAGAAAAUCUCAAAAGAUAGGAAACUAUAUUUUAGUGAUAUCCUGUAGAUUUUAGUGAGAAAAACGGCCCAGGCACGCUUUUCGAGAAUAUGGCACGCAUACCGAGGAAAUCGAGGAUGCUAAGUAAAGGAUGCUUUAAGGUUGAAUUUGAAGAGACUCGUGCAAAUUUUGAGGAUGACACGCAAAUCGAGGCGAUGCAAGAGGCAAUGCGCGAAUAUCGAGGUAGCUCGAUAAGCUUGAGAAUGUAAGUGGUACUUUCUCGAAAAUAUUUUCAUCAUAUUGACAUGCCUUGAUAUGUAUCCAUCACGUAGAAUGCAUCCAUGACUUGACUAUGAAACGCAUAAAUAUACGUUGAUGUCAUUGAUCACACACAUAUGAGGUCGUAGGGAGUAUGAACUGGCACCGCUGCCUUAUCAAGGGUGCACCCAUACACCCCGUCUUCGAAAGAGGUGGUCGCUAAAAUGGUAGGCAACAUGAGGGGUGCAGUUGACACCUACGAUGAAAGACAUUGCAUACACGCAAGACAUAGCAUGAUAUACCCUUACUUAGAUGUUUCUUCAUCUAACUUGGGUUCGCCCCUAGAACAUUCAACAUUCCAAUCGGGAUUCGCAGUGAUGAUACAGAGGUUGAAGAUGUGUAAUGACGCGAGACACCAAAAAAUGAGUAAAUGUACCAUGAUAUAUUGAAAUGUUAAUUAUAUACGUUUUAAUUUAUUUUCA